AAAUCUCGGCAACGAAUAUCUCGACUCUCGCAUCGAUGAAGAACGUAGCGAAAUGCAAUACUUGGUGUGAAUUGCAGAAUCCUGUGAACCAUUGAGUCUUUGAAUGCAAGUAAUGCCCCAAAGCCAUUAGAUCUGAGGGCACGUCUGCUUGGCUGUCA
rfam:Gossypium arboreum cultivar AKA8401 contig_121321_1, whole genome shotgun sequence.